UACAGAGGGGGCGAGCGUUGUUCGGAAUUACUGGGCGUAAAGAGCGCGCAGGCGGUCGUUCAAGUCGAGUGUGAAAGCCCCCGGCUCAACUGGGGAGGGUCACUCGAUACUGAUCGACUUGAAGGCAGGAGAGGGAAGCGGAAUUCCCGGUGUAGUGGUGAAAUGCGUAGAUAUCGGGAGGAACACCAGUGGCGAAGGCGGCUUCCUGGCCUGUUCUUGACGCUGAGGCGCGAAAGCUAGGGGAGCAAACGGG
rnacentral:rRNA from 1 species